GACGAACGCUGGCGGCGUGCUUAAUACAUGCAAGUCGAGCGGUAAGGCCCUUCGGGGUACACGAGCGGCGAACGGGUGAGUAACACGUGGGUGACCUGCCCUUAGCUCUGGGAUAAGCCUGGGAAACUGGGUCUAAUACCGGAUAUGACCUCAUGACGCAUGUUGUGGGGUGGAAAGCCUUGUGCGGCUAGGGAUGGGCCCGCGGCCUAUCAGCUUGUUGGUGGGGUNAUGGCCACCAAGGCGACGACGGGUAGCCGGCCUGAGAGGGCGACCGGCCACACUGGGACUGAGACACGGCCCAGACUCCUACGGGAGGCAGCAGUGGGGAAUCUUGCGCAAUGGGCGAAAGCCUGACGCAGCGACGCCGCGUGAGGGAUGACGGCCU
rnacentral:rRNA from 1 species